UGGGGGGGGAAAAAAUUCCCAAACGUGUGAAAAAGCAGUAGCCCCCUAAAAUCUGCCAUUUUUGGUGGCAACAGAUGCCAUCCAGUGUUUACUGGCAAUGUGUUUUUCACAUUUCUGUGGAGGAAUUUUGGCUCACUUUCAGCUGCAGAACUAUUUUAAUAAAGGUACUUUGGUGGCCAGUGUCUGUUUAAGCUCAUGCCACAGAAACUCAAUUGGAUUUAAGUCCCACCGUUGAAUGAACCACUGCAAAACCUAAUUAAUUUUAGACACAGCAAUGAGUCACUGUCUGACUCAUUGCUGCAUAACCAACAUUUGCUUCAGUUUAAGAUUUCAAACUGAUGGACAAACCUUUUCCCUCAAGGUUUUCCACUAUUGAGGAAUUAAUGCCAAUAACAGCAAGUCCUGAAGCAGCAAAGGAACCUCACAUUAAAAGCUUAGUUUUACAUAGCACAUCUUCCACAAACUUGUGUUUCAUUAAUCCACAGAACAUUUCCCCAAGUCUUCAGGAUCAUCAAUAAGCCCAUCGGUUCAUCGGCUAUACCUGCUCUUCCUUCCAGGGUCACAAUGGGAUGGUGCCAAUCUCCAGCAGUCAUCAGGAACUCAGCCAUGGAUGCCAUUGUUGCCCAAUUUCUCUAUUGCUAUUACAGUCAUGAACAGACCAUUGCACUGAGGUAGGUGAGGCCUGCUGUGCUGUAGAUGUUGCUCUAGGUCAUAGUAAUAACUCCUUGGAUAAGUUGUUGAUGCCCUUGUGGAGUAAUUUUGGUAGUUUAACCACUCUUGGAAAGGCUUUUGUAACAUUUUCUGCAAUGGUAGAUGGAGAUAACUUUGUUAUUCACUUUUUUGAUAUUUACUACAUCAGGGAACAAUGCUAGUUUCAUGUGUCUUAGUACAAAAAACUAUAUUUAAUAAAGAAGAUGCAAUAUUGUACACUGAUGGCAUUAAACAUUAACCAAGUGCCUCAAACCACAUUUUUAGGAGUUGUUGUUGAUGAGAAACUAACUUGGAAACAACAUACUGAACUAGUAUGUAGAAAUAUGGUCAAAUCAAUUAAUUAUAUACUUCUAAUACCACAUUAGUAGUAGAUAACUUCUAUUAUAAAGAUAUAAAAUUAACUCUGUAUGGAUAAGAGAAAAUGAACAAAAGUCAAACUUGAGCAUCCUCUUUAAAAACAACAAAAAUUGCAGCUUGUAUAAUCAAUCGAUUCCAUUCAUAUUUAUUGCAAAUUUGCUUUCAUAAGAACUGUGUAAAGAUUAUGAAUCAAUGUGAAGUCUUAUACAAAGUUAAUAGCACCUGUUUUUGCCUGGUGACUUCAUGUGUUGAUCAUGUGAAAUCUAAUUGUUUUUAAUUGCUGAACCUAGAGGGCCGAAUGUCUCUCUACAUACCUGCACUCAAACCGUCUGUAAAAUCACCAACACUGUUAUUAUAAAGCCAUAGUGCAAAUGAAUCAUCAAAAGUAAAGAAAAAAGUUUGACAGUUCAAUAAAAAAAUAUUUCAGCUGUUGCUACA